rnacentral:ncRNA from 1 species
AAAAAAACAGAGAUGGGAAGAAGUAGCAGUUCUCCUUUUCGGCAGAGAGUCUUUGGUUGGUGAAAAAAGAUGAAAAGCGCUGUGAAUACGCCCCUGAGUUGAUUUUCUGAACGGCAGGAUGACUUAAUAGGAAAAUCCGGGUUCGCCCGUUAUUGCGCUUGAGGUCAGAUUUUUAUGAAAUCUGAUAAAUUGAGGUGGUACCACGAACGAUUUCGUCCUCUGA